UGGUGGGUAGUUUGACUGGGGCGGUCUCCUCCUAAAGAGUAACGGAGGAGCACGAAGGUUGGCUAAUCCUGGUCGGACAUCAGGAGGUUAGUGCAAUGGCAUAAGCCAGCUUGACUGCGAGCGUGACGGCGCGAGCAGGUGCGAAAGCAGGUCAUAGUGAUCCGGUGGUUCUGAAUGGAAGGGCCAUCGCUCAACGGAUAAAAGGUACUCCGGGGAUAACAGGCUGAUACCGCCCAAGAGUUCAUAUCGACGGCGGUGUUUGGCACCUCGAUGUCGGCUCAUCACAUCCUGGGGCUGAAGUAGGUCCCAAGGGUAUGGCUGUUCGCCAUUUAAAGUGGUACGCGAGCUGGGUUUAGAACGUCGUGAGACAGUUCGGUCCCUAUCUGCCGUGGGCGCUGGAGAACUGAGGGGGGCUGCUCCUAGUACGAGAGGACCGGAGUGGACGCAUCACUGGUGUUCGGGUUGUCAUGCCAAUGGCACUGCCCGGUAGCUAAAUGCGGAAGAGAUAAGUGCUGAAAGCAUCUAAGCACGAAACUUGCCCCGAGAUGAGUUCUCCCUGAGACUUUAGGUCUCCUGAAGGAACGUUGAAGACGACGACGUUGAUAGGCCGGGUGUGUAAGCGCAGCGAUGCGUUGAGCUAACCGGUA
rnacentral:rRNA from 1 species